rnacentral:rRNA from 1 species
AUUGAACGCUGGCGGUAUGCUUAACACAUGCAAGUCGAACGGCAGCUGGGGGAGCUUGCUCCCUGCAGGCGAGUGGCGGACGGGUGAGUAGAGUGUAGGAAUCUGUCCUAAAGUGUGGGACAACUUGGGGAAACCCAAGCUAAUACCACAUAGUCCGGAAACGGUAAAGCGGGGGCUCUUCGGACCUCGUGCUUUAGGGUGAGCCUACAUCAGUUUAGCUAGUUGGUGGGGUAAAGGCCUACCAAGGCGACGAUCUGUAGCUGGUCUGAGAGGAUGAUCAGCCACACUGGGACUGAGACACGGCCCAG